rnacentral:rRNA from 1 species
UACAGGGGGUGCAAACGUUGCUCGGAAUUAUUGGGCGUAAAGCGCGCGUAGGCGGCCACUUAAGUCGGAUGUGAAAGCCCCUGGCUCAACUGGGGAAGUGCACCCGAAACUGAAUGGCUUGAAUGCAAAAGAGGGUCGCGGAAUUCCCGGUGUAGAGGUGAAAUGCGUAGAUAUCGGAAGGAACACCAGUGGCGAAAGCGGCUUCCUGGUCCAGCACCGACGUUCAGGCACGAAAGCGUGGGGAGCAAACAGG